AAGUCGUAACAAGGUCUCCGUUGGUGAACCAGCGGAGGGAUCAUUAUAGAAUUGACCUUUUCAAGUCAUUCUGGCUCUGCCAAACCCUUGAGAACUAUACAAACAAAACUUACCGUGUUGCCUCGGCGGGCUAGCGACCCCCUGGGGUUGCGCCGCCGGGAGCGCCGGCGAGCACAAACGCACUAUACUGCUCAGCGCGCCCUUCUGAAUAUCAAACUUUUAACGAGUAAAAACUUUUGGCAACGGAUCUCUUGGCUCUG
rnacentral:misc_RNA from 1 species